rnacentral:lncRNA from 1 species
CAAUUAUUUGAUGAUUUAUUUCGAUUGUAUAAAGAAUGACAGUUAGCGAAUCUCAAGAUCAACCACUGAGGAUUGUUUGGCUUGAUGCAAUGACCUUAAACAGUGAAGUGAUUUUCCAGGAAGGUCUAUACACAACAAGUUGGAUUUUAUGGGGUGAUGAAAGAACUAUGAAUAUGUAAAUGGGAAUGAAACAGAAGGAAUGAAUAUGUUCUACUGAUCAUCCAGCUGAAAUCAUGCCUGUGGAAUAGAGUGCAUGUCACAAAUACUGAUAUGAGCAAAUACCUCCAUAUUGCACAAAUAAUGUGAUGUUUCCUGCCCUAAUGACCAGAAAAAGUUCAAAAUUCUAGUUCAAAUUACAAAUGUGUUUCAAGAAAAAGUAAAACUUAGUCAACUGUGAGAAAUAUUGGGUAAAAGUAGUGUUUUGAUGUCGUGACAGCUGUGAAGUUGUUUGAGAAGCACUAUCCUAAUUUUU